rnacentral:rRNA from 1 species
CCUACGGGAGGCUGCAGUCGAGACUCAUUCACAAUGGGGGAAACCCUGAUGGUGCGACGCCGCGUGGGGGAAUGAAGGUCUUCGGAUUGUAAACCCCUGUCAUGUGGGAGCAAAUUAAAAAGAUAGUACCACAAGAGGAAGAGACGGCUAACUCUGUGCCAGCAGCCGCGGUAAUACAGAGGUCUCACGCGUUGUUCGGAAUCACUUGGCUUAAAGCGUGCGUAGGCUGCUUCUGAAGUCGUGUGUGAAAGGCGCGGGGGAACCCCGCGGCCGGAACAUGAUACUGCGAGAGUAGAGGAAUGGAGGGGGAACCGGAAGUCUCGGGGUAGCAGUGAAAUGCGUAGAUAUCGAGAGGAACACUCGUGGCGAAGGCGGGUUCCUGGACAUUAACUGACGCUGAGGCACGAAGGCCAGGGGAGCGAAAGGGAUUAGAUACCCGGGUAGUC